CGAACCGGGGGAACUGAAACAUCUAAGUACCCCGAGGAAAAGAAAUCAACCGAGAUUCCCCCAGUAGCGGCGAGCGAACGGGGAGGAGCCCAGAGCCUGAAUCAGCAUGUGUGUUAGUGGAAGCGUCUGGAAAGGCGCGCGAUACAGGGUGACAGCCCCGUACACAAAAGCGCAUGUGCUGUGAGCUCGAUGAGUAGGGCGGGACACGUGGUAUCCUGUCUGAAUAUGGGGGGACCAUCCUCCAAGGCUAAAUACUCCUGACUGACCGAUAGUGAACCAGUACCGUGAGGGAAAGGCGAAAAGAACCCCGGCGAGGGGAGUGAAAAAGAACCUGAAACCGUGUACGUACAAGCAGUGGGAGCACAGGUUUACCUGUGUGACUGCGUACCUUUUGUAUAAUGGGUCAGCGACUUAUAUUCUGUAGCAAGGUUAACCGUAUAGGGGAGCCGUAGGGAAACCGAGUCUUAAC
rnacentral:rRNA from 1 species